GGCAACCCUGACGGAGCAACGCCGCGUGGGGGAGGAAGGUCUGUGGAUUGUAAACUCCUUUUCUCUAGGAAGAAGUUCUGACGGUACUAGAGGAAUCAGCAUCGGCUAACUCCGUGCCAGCAGCCGCGGUAAGACGGAGGAUGCAAGCGUUAUCCGGAAUUAUUGGGCGUAAAGCGUCCGUAGGCGGUUUUUCAAGUCUGCCGUUAAAGACUACAGCUUAACUGUGGGCCGGCGGUGGAAACUGAGGAACUUGAGUAUGGUAGGGGUAGAGGGAAUUCCCAGUGUAGCGGUGAAAUGCGUAGAGAUUGGGAAGAACACCGGUGGCGAAAGCGCUCUACUGGGCUGCAACUGACGCUGAGGGACGAAAGCUAGGGUAGCG
rnacentral:rRNA from 1 species